rnacentral:rRNA from 1 species
UACGUAGGGUGCAAGCGUUGUCCGGAAUUAUUGGGCGUAAAGAGCUCGUAGGCGGUGUGUCACGUCGUUCGUGAAGACCUGCAGCUUAACUGUGGGCGUGCGGUCGAUACGGGCAUCACUGGAGUUCGGCAGGGGAGACUGGAAUUCCUGGUGUAGCGGUGAAAUGCGCAGAUAUCAGGAAGAACACCCGUGGCGAAGGCGGCUCUCUGGGACGGUACUGACGCUGAGACGCGAAAGCGUGGGGAGCGAACAGG